AUCCAGUUGACGAGUCCCAAAUAGAACGAAGCUUGUGUUCUAGAU
rfam:Schistosoma mansoni strain Puerto Rico chromosome 1, complete genome